UUAUUAAGCCAUCUACACUCUUGAAUUUAACCGAUGUGGGAUUCAUGUGAAAUCCCAACAAUCUCCACCUUUCACUUGAAUACCCAUCACAAGUAUCAUACUAGAGUAUCUUAUCAUUAAGCACACCUUCUUUGAAUCCUUCAAGAGCCUCUCUGCUCGACUCUAAUACUACCCCCAGCAGUUUUUCCUAGAGCCAUCCCGAGCCAUGCUCCAC
rnacentral:lncRNA from 1 species